UGGACCGGGACCGAGUGGGCCGGAGACCGGGAGUUGCGCCUCGGGUUUCGGCUGCACCACCGGCGGGUCGUGAAUCCUUUCGAAGGCAGAGCUGAAGCGACCGGCGGAGAUUCCGUGAGAUGUUUCAGCUGCACGGAGGCGCCCGGCCUUUCCCCGUCGAGGAUCGGGGCCUGUUGUCUGGAGUUGUCUCCCAGACCCGUCCCUUCCUGCUGGGUGACGGGAGCUGCCCCGCAGCGGCUGCCGGUGGAUCUCCGGAGCUCUCACCGCUCCCCUGUGCAAUCCGAACGGCUGAAAACCAAGGGAGAACAAGGCGCAAAGUCCUGAAGGGUCUCGGUCUGAAACACCGACUGUUCACUCCUCUCCAUCGUCGCCGCCUGCCCCCCUGAGUUCCUCCAGCAUUUUGUGUCUGUUGCUUUGGGUUCAGGAUCUGCAGAUUCUCGCCUGAAAAAAAAUUGCGCAUGCGUGGUCGUCGCCACCAAUCCCGACUAUCGCGCAUGCGCUGAGUAGCAGAGUCUGACAACGACCGGACAAAGGUUUGAAAUGGCAGAACACUUGCGCAUGGGAAUCUCAAACACAACAACACAUCAGUUUUGCUGAAUGACUGGAUAUUUAAGGAGUGACCAAAUAUUUUCUUUGCAACACCAACACCUCUGUUGUCGAUCCACGGAGAUGAAGAAUUAUCUCAUAACAUCUGGUAAUGUGUUCUGUCACUGAAAUCAAGCAUUCUGUUGUAACUCAGUGAAAUCCACUUGAACCGGGGUGCUGAGAACACACCAGCAUUUGUUCACUGGAGAUCAGUUCUUCUACUGCAUUGAUUGUAGACGGGAUUCAAACGUCUGACUGUCUGAAUUGCAGAGAAUUGAUCGCAGUGAGAUAUCAUUCUCCUUCUCUCAGUGUGGGAGGGGAUUCUCUCACAGCCUACCUGCAGACACGCUGGUGAGUUCACAUUAGGGAGAGGCCAUUCACCUGCUCUGUGUGAGGGAGGGGAACUACUCAAUCAUCCAGCCUGAAGAUACAUCAGCAAGUUCACACCACAGUGAGAUGCUCCACCUGUUCUGACAGCGGGAAGCAAUACAUUCUGUCAUCGAUGCUGAAGAUAUAUCCUAAAGUUCACCAGUGAGAGGACAUUGACCUGCUCGGAUGGUGGGAAGACAUUCACACGCUCAACCAGACCACAGUGACACCAAUGAGUUCACACCGGGGAGAAGCCAUUCACCUGCUCUGAAUAGGGGAAGAUAUUCACUCAUUCGUCCACACUACAUAGACACCAGCGAGUUCACACUGGGGAGAGCCCAUUCACCUGCUCAGACUGUGGGAAGAGAUUCACUCAGUCGAUUCACCUGCUGCAACAUCAGUUAGUUCACACUAGGGAGAUGCCAUUCACAUGCUCAGACUGUGGGAAAGGAUUCACCCAGUCAUCUCAACUGAAGGAGCAUCAGCGAGUCCACACUGAGGAGAAGCCAUUCACUUGCUCUGAAUGUGGGAAAGGAUUUGCUCGGUCAUCUGAACUGAAGGUACAUCAGCGAGUUCACACUGGGGAGAGGCCAUUCACCUGCUCAGACUGUGGGAAGGGAUUCACUCACUCGUCCAACCUGCACAGACACCAGCGAGUUCACACUGGGGAGAAGCCAUUUAUCUGCUCUGAAUGUGGGAAGGUAUUUGCUCAGUCAUCUGAACUGAAGUCCCAUCAGCGAGUCCACACUGGGGAGAAGCCAUUCACUUGCUCAGAAUGUGGGAAAGGAUUCGCUCGGUCAUCUGUACUGAAGUCACAUCAGCGAGUUCACACUCGGGCGAUGCCAUUCACCUGCGCAGACUGUGGGAAGGGAUUCACUCACUCGUCCAAUCUACAGAGACAUCAGCGAGUUCACACUGGGGAGAAGCCAUUCACAUGCUCUGAAUGUGGGAAAGGAUUCGCUCAGUCAUCUGAACUGAAGUCACAUCAGCGAGUUCAUACGGGAGAGAAGCCAUUCACCUGCUCUGACUGUGGGAAAGGAUUUGCUCGGUCAUUUGAACUGAAGUUACAUCAACGAGUUCACACUAGUGAGAGGCCGUUCACCUGCUCUGACUGUGGGAAGGGAUUCACUCACUCGUCCAAUCUACACAGACACCAGCGAGUCCACACUGGAGAGAAGCCAUUCAUAUGCUCUGAAUGUGGGAAACGAUUUGCCCAGACAGCUCAACUGAAGUUACAUCAGCGAGUCCACACUGGGGAGAGGCCGUUCACUUGCUCUGAAUGUGGGAAGGGAUUUGCUCAGUCAUCUGAACUGAAGGUACAUCAGCGAGUUCACACUGGUGAGAGGCCGUUCAGCUGCUCAGAAUGUGGGAAAGGAUUCAUUCGUUCAUCUCAACUCCUGAGACACCAGCAAAUUCAUACUGGGGAGAAACCAUUCAUCUGCUCAGAAUGUGGGAAGGGAUUCACCGAUUCAGUUCAUCUGAAAGAACAUCAGUUUGUUCACACUGUGGAGAGGCCGUUCACCUGCUCAGACUGUGGGAAAGGAUUCACUCGGCGUUUUAGUCUAUUAACGCACCAGUUAGAUCACAGUGAGGAGAAACCAUUCAUAUGCUCUGAAUGUGGGAAAGGAUUCACACAGUCAUCUCAACUGAAGGAGCAUCAGCGAGUCCACACUGGGGAGAAGCCGUUCAUCUGCUCUGAAUGUGGGAAGGGAUUUGCUCAGUCAUCUCAACUGAAGUUACAUCAGCGAGUCCACACUGGGGAGAGGCCAUUCAACUGCUCUGAAUGUGGGAAAGGAUUCAGUCGUUCUUCUCAACUCCUGAGACACCAGCGAAUUCACACUGGGGAGAAACCAUUCAUCUGCCCAGAGUGUGGGAAGGGAUUCACCGAUUCAGCUCAGCUGAAAGAACAUCAGUUUGUUCACACUGGGGAGAGGCCAUUCACCUGCUCAGACUGUGGGAAAAGAUUCAGUCGUUCAUCUCAGCUCUCGAGGCAUCAGCAAAUUCACACUGGGGAGAAACCAUUCUGAGGAAAUGCGGAUAUAUAAAAAAUUAUUUUGAACCUAAGUAACCUCUAGAUAAAAGAAUAAUUGGGACUGAACAGGAAUUUUUGAACUAAAGUAAACUCUGUCUUCAGCAGUUAAGAAACUCAAUGGCUUAUACUGGUUUCCUUUUAAUUGUCAGAGGGACAUUGAGAAUUUGAUAAUAUAUAUUGUACUCGUGUUUGAGUCAGGACUCAUCGAUAAGGUCAGCAAUGAACAUCGGUCUGGAAUGAAGUCAGGACCUUGCAAAGGGAAUAGCUGAUAAGGACUGGACUGUAUAUCCAUCUAUAUUCAAGCCUUGAGUUAGUGCACUCUGUUAUCUAAGACAUUAAGUUUUGCACCAACAGACUUGGUGGGCGUACCAGUUCUAAUAGCAGCUUGCAACAGUGAUGUAUGGGACUUACUAUGUAUGAAUAUACUGCUGUAACCUGACUGAGAGAGUCCACUUGUCAGAUGGUUGGCAGCACUGACAUGCCUUCCCUCUGAUAACUGGGUCUCAGACUCUUGCAAGAGAAUGCAAUAAACUGUGGUGCCGAGAGGAAACUGGUCUCCCGAGUUUAACAUUGGGUGUCACGAACAGGAUCCCAAUACAGAGAGUGCGAAGCAGACAGACGGAGUAAGCGGCCGGACCACUCCGGGGACUGUGGAGACCGACCAGGUGCCCAACGGGUAUUUCACCUUUUGUCGCUCACCGUCAGUUCCUGUGGAGGCACGGUUCCUCGCCGAAGGCUGCUUGCAUAUCUUGACGGGAUCGGGAAUGUCUCUGUCGGAAGACUUGUAUAAGGAGGUCUCCAGAGGAGAUUCACCAGGAGUGUGGAGGAUCGUAGUUCAUCACUCCCAGAGUGCCUGCUGCCGGCUGGUGGCGCAAUUUUCUCUGCAUCGGCGGAGACUGAGGGAGGUCUGGCAAACAUCGCCGGGACAGACACUUGGAGCUGUGGACGGAGAGCCACGCCGGUCCCUGUAGAUGCCGCGGCCGACGACCACCGACAAUAGUAUCACUGAACACCACCAUAGCGAUAGAGCAGACAAGGAGGGUCUGAGUUUGGGGCAGAUUUCCAUCAGACCUAUCGUAGUUCAGACCCUUCACUGUCCCCUGCUGUCACUGGCAGAGGAACGCGUCGGUCAAAUGAGAUGAUUAGUUAAUGUGAAUUUCAGACAUGGACAGAGGUGGGAAUAUGAAAACAGCGACGGUGUUGCCUUUGGAAAAUAGAGGCGGAUCAGUUCAACAGGUUAAAGUACAGUUGGGUGUGUAUUAUGCAGAGACCUUGCAAAAAUUUAAACCUGACUUUGACUUCUAAACUUAAUAAAGUGUUCCCAGUCAGAGAGUAGCCUCUGUACUGUUGGAUUCAAUAGAGUUUGUGAUGCUUAUAAUGGAUGUGGUGAAUUGUACUGAUCAGACAUCUCGUCCUACUGGCAAAAACAUAAAAUGAUUGUGAAAGCUGCAGAAAGGUAUCUCGGUGUAACCGGUGUUAUGUUGGAAGCUGUAAAUGAAGAUCUGAUGGGUGGAGUAUCUGCAUCCUAGUCUGUCCCAGACUGAUUUUUCAUCGUCAACACAUUAAGAAGCCUGUUUCUCAUUUGGCAGAAUCCCCCAAUGUUUUGAGAAUUCAGGAAAAGAGAUUAUUUUCACAGUUAAGUUUUUACUGUGCAGGAUUAUAUUGUCGUUUGGCGUGAUUGGCCAUCUGAUAGAGAGGUAGUGCUGACAGUUUAUAAGGAAAGAGGCAGGGUGUAGAGUUGUGAAUAUGAAUGAACCGUAUGCGGCAUUUGCUGGAGAAAUAUUUGAUUCAGCAGGUAGUUGUAUAAAACAGAUUAUGGUUUACAACGCUUGUGGGAAUCUUUCUACUCAGUUGUGAGAAAGUAUAUUUUGUUCUCGCUCACGAAGAGUUGUCUGAUGCUGAGAUUUUAACGCAGUUCACUGAGGGUUUGUUUGCUGAAUGAUGGUAAUGGUUUGAUUAAAGAACAGUUUUUCAACUUGUGUGUCUGAAUGGGUAGGAGAUUCAAUAUUCGCAGUAGUUCUAGAACCGCUGCAGAAUGUUGACGAAGAUGUGUAUUUUUACAAUGAAAUGUUAUGUCACGUUAUUCAGCAAAUGAUGAAAGUGAUUCCCAUUACAAACGGAAUUAAUAGGAGAAAGGCUGUAUCACUGUGGACUGAGGAGUGUACAGAGGCGAUUAGGGAGUGAGACAAGGCGUUUAGGAAAGUGAAGAAGUAUCAGUGUCCCAGCAACCUUAUUAAGUAUAAAAGGGCAGAAGCCGUGAUGAGGAAAAUGGUAAAGAUUGCGAAAAAGAUUUUCUAGCGACAUACUCUGACAAUAUUGCAGGGAUUGGUAGGUCAGACGUCACCAGGACAGGAUGAUACAUGUUAUUGUUUGGUCAGAUAAAUGGGGAUGUCGGCAUAUUUCGGGGUUUGCCAGUGAAUCCAGUGGUACAGACGGAUUUGGCGGAGCAUCCAGCUUUGCGGAUGUGCUCCGCUUUAGGGGUAUGUCAGCGAAUGUGUGAGUGCACAAGGAUUUCGUGGUGUCGGAUGCUUUGGGGUGGACACUGAUUUGAAGGUUCAUUGAGGGUUUUCUGGAGAGCACAGAUUUGUGGAUGCAGACUGAUUUGCACAAAGCUGGGUGUGUUGGCGGAUUUGGGGUUGAACAAUAACCUGGGUGAGCCGGGGCAUCUGGAGGUGUGUCGGAUUUCAAGGUUUUUCCGUUUGUCCAUACUUUAAUAAAAAUGCAAUGUCAACUUUGACCAUUGUUCGUCCUAUGUUUUAAACGGAGACAACCUUUUUUGUGAACU